rnacentral:rRNA from 2 species
AGGUGCGAUCAUACCAGCACUAAUGCACCGGAUCCCAUCAGUACUUCGCAGUUAAGCGCGCUUGGGCGAGAGUAGUACUAGGAUGGGUGACCUCCUAGGAAGUCCUCGUGUUGCACCUC